rnacentral:rRNA from 1 species
AGUGAACGCUGGCGGUAGGCCUAACACAUGCAAGUCGAACGGCAGCACAGUAAGAGCUUGCUCUUACGGGUGGCGAGUGGCGGACGGGUGAGGAAUACAUCGGAAUCUACUUUUUCGUGGGGGAUAACGUAGGGAAACUUACGCUAAUACCGCAUACGACCUACGGGUGAAAGCAGGGGAUCUUCGGACCUUGCGCGAUUGAAUGAGCCGAUGCCGGAUUAGCUAGUUGGCGGGGUAAAGGCCCACCAAGGCGACGAUCCGUAGCUGGUCUGAGAGGAUGAUCAGCCACACUGGAACUGAGACACGGUCCAGACUCCUACGGGAGGCAGCAGUAGGGAAUAUUGGACAAUGGGCGCAAGCCUGAUGCAGCCAUACCGCGUGGGUGAAGAAGGCCUUCGGGUUGUAAAACCCUUUUGUUGGGAAAGAAAAGCAGCAGGUUAAUACCCCGCUGUUCUGACGGUACCCAAAGAGUAAGCACCGGCUAACUUCGUG